AAUAAAGUGCCUGAUAAAAGGGCUAUUUUGAUAGAAUAGAGCAUGUACCACUCGUACCUUUAUUA
rnacentral:tRNA from 1 species